GAAAAGAUCCGCAAAGAGACUCCCUACCCUGCGGCACGGAAAGCUUGAAGGACACUCCAGGACGAAAACAGCGGCAAGGUGGCUGGUUCUGCCUUUGUCUAGGAAUGGUCAGCAGGUUAAAUUGAGGUUCUGAACAGCUCUGCUCAGAUGGAAACUCAGAUCAGAGCAAAGGACGCACUCUUCCUUGACUUUGACGGCAUUUGUUUGCGUUGCCCUGCGGUGCACAGUGUGUUCCUUGUAUUUCUGCCUCGGCCGUGGUCAUUCCUCGCAAAGGUCUGAGUUAAGAAGCUAAGCUGGAGAUGAGCAGGGGAAGUGGUUCUCAGCUUGUGGUGUUAAAGUGAGUGAUUAUAAACUUUCUCCAGACCAGAUCGUGUUGCUUUUGGAGUGGCU
rnacentral:lncRNA from 1 species